rnacentral:lncRNA from 1 species
UGAAUUUUUUUGAGCACAUAUCUCUUAUUGUCAGCUUUCCAAUGAGCAUAGGCUUGCUCAAUUUGGAGCUAAAAUAAAAAAUUUGUGAAUUUUUGAGUGCGAGGGAGUUGGUUGUCUUGGCAAUUUGGAUCAGCAGUCUUUGAAAAGAUAUUUCUCAGUGUUUUUUACUUAAAAAAUUCUAAAAUUUUAAGAAUAAGAGCAAAUACAAGUUUAGCUUCCAAUGGCAUAUGUUUGAUUAUGUUUAAAGUACAUCCGAGUUUUUGGUGUAUUUUGGAAAGAAGGGUAGUAAGCUACCAUGGCUGUCUCAGUUAUUCAAUUUUGAAGGAGUAUUGUGCAUGCCUCAAGUAUUGGAUUGCCACAAAAUUUCUUGAAGCAGAAGCGCCUUGAAGUUAGGUUUUCAACCAAGAAAAAAUCAUUAGAAUUAAAGCUGAUACGAAUAGUUGGCUAAUUUUGGAGUAGAAGGAAGUUGCUGCACUAAAUUCUUGGUCGUUAUCAAGGUGCCUUCUCUUCAUCCAUCUUAGUUUUUAUUUUCUCUUUUAUUUUUACACUAACUUGUAACUCUCAUAUGUAAAAUA